rnacentral:rRNA from 1 species
UGGAAGUAAAAAGUCGUAACAAGGUCUCCGUUGGUGAACCAGCGGAGGGAUCAUUACCGAGUUUACAACUCCCAAACCCCUGUGAACAUACCACUUGUUGCCUCGGCGGAUCAGCCCGCUCCCGGUAAAACGGGACGGCCCGCCAGAGGACCCCUAAACUCUGUUUCUAUAUGUAACUUCUGAGUAAAACCAUAAAUAAAUCAAAACUUUCAACAACGGAUCUCUUGGUUCUGGCAUCGAUGAAGAACGCAGCAAAAUGCGAUAAGUAAUGUGAAUUGCAGAAUUCAGUGAAUCAUCGAAUCUUUGAACGCACAUUGCGCCCGCCAGUAUUCUGGCGGGCAUGCCUGUUCGAGCGUCAUUUCAACCCUCAAGCACAGCUUGGUGUUGGGACUCGCGUUAAUUCGCGUUCCCCAAAUUGAUUGGCGGUCACGUCGAGCUUCCAUAGCGUAGUAGUAAAACCCUCGUUACUGGUAAUCGUCGCGGCCACGCCGUUAAACCCCAACUUCUGAAUGUUGACCU